GCCCAAUGUGGUGCAGUGGUAGCGCCACUACCUGCGACGCAGAAAGUUCCGGGUUCAAUUCUCGGUGGGUC